ACGGGCGGUUGUAGAUCUAUGCAUUGACGCUAGCUCUAGUCUUUGCCAUAGCCAACAGGAGUGCGGUGCCGGCGAGUCUCUUCCAAUAGUGUACGCCGUGUCAAGAAAUGAGAAAUAUAUCCCAUGCUUGGACCUGCAACUGGCAUGUGAACCACACUUAUUAAAACCAAAAUAUAUAAAUUGUGUCCUUUCAAAAAAACACACAUAGUUCAUAUCUCAGUGGUAGUGCUAGUG
rnacentral:lncRNA from 1 species